GCGGAGCUUGCAGUGAGCCGAGAUUGCGUCACCGCACUCCAGCCUGGGCGACAGAGCGAGACUCCGUCUCAAAAAAAAUGACUGGACAAAAAACACUCUGAUGCAAACAGGCAAGAAACCCAGCAAGGCCUAUCUGGAUUCUCCUUGGCCUGUCUGCAGCAUUCAUUCCUUCUGGGUAUGGAACAGGACCCUCUGGAAUGGGGGCUGUGGCCUACAACAGUUAAACAAGGAGCUGUGAUUGGUUGAUUGAUUUUGAGGCGGAGUUUCACUCUUGUUGCCCAGGCUGAAGUGCAGUGGCACAACCUCUGCUCACUGCAACCGCUGCCUUCCAGUUUCAAGCGAUUCUCCUGCCUCAGCCUCCCAAGUAGCUGGGAUUACAGGCGCCUGCCACAACGUCUGGAGACGGAGUUUCUCCAUUUUGGCCAGUUUGGUGUCGACCUCCCGGGCUUAAGCGAUCCACCCACCUCAGCCUCCCAAAGUGUUGGGAUUACAGGCGUGAGCCACUGUAUCCAGCUUGUGAUAUACUUUUAAUAAAUUUCUCUUAAACUUAAAUUAGCAAGUGCUUGUUUAUCAUCCUUCCAAUUAGAGAACCUGGAUUCGGCCAUUAGGAAGUCAAGGGUGGCAUUCAU
rnacentral:lncRNA from 1 species